UGCCAGCCGCCGCGGUAAUACGGAGGGUGCAAGCGUUAAUCGGAAUUACUGGGCGUAAAGAGCACGUAGGCGGCUUGGUCAGUCGGAUGUGAAAGCCCCGGGCUUAACCUGGGAAUUGCACUCGAUACUACCAAGCUAGAGUUUAAUAGAGGAAUGCGGAAUUCCGGGUGUAGCGGUGAAAUGCGUAGAUAUCCGGAGGAACAUCAGUGGCGAAGGCGGCAUUCUGGGUUAAAACUGACGCUGAGGUGCGAAAGCGUGGGGAGCAAACAGGAUUAGAUA
rnacentral:rRNA from 1 species